rnacentral:rRNA from 1 species
UCCUACGGGGGGCUGCAGUGGGGAAUAUUGGGCAAUGGGCGCAAGCCUGAUCCAGCAAUGCCGCGUGUGUGAUGAAGGCCUUCGGGUUGUAAAGCACUUUUGGCGGGAACGAAAAGGACUGUGCCAAUACCACGGUUCGAUGACGGUACCCGCAGAAUAAGCACCGGCUAACUACGUGCCAGCAGCCGCGGUAAUACGUAGGGUGCGAGCGUUAAUCGGAAUUACUGGGCGUAAAGAGUGCGCAGGCGGUUUUGCGAGACCGAUGUGAAAGCCCCGGGCUUAACCUGGGAACUGCAUUGGUGACUGCAAGGCUAGAGUGUUUCAGAGGGAGGUGGAACUCCGCAUGUAGCAGUGAAAUGCGUAGAUAUGCGGAAGAACACCGAUGGCGAAGGCAGCCUCCUGGGAUAACACUGACGCUCAUGCACGAAAGCGUGGGGAGCAAACAGGAUUAGAUACCCCAGUAGUCC